CAUAGGAAUAGGGUUCUUGAUUUUGAAGUGUAUAAAUGUCUUGCUUUGUAUUCAUUUGAGGACUAUGAAUGAAAAACCUAUAUUAUUUUCUUUAGUUUCUUCUCUUCUUAGUUUUAGUUAGCUUCUUCUUCCUCUAAAAUUCAGUAUUUGUAUCGGUGGUAUUAGAGCAUCCAUCCUCGGACCUCUAUUUCAAUGGAUAUCGGUAGAUUUCUAUCACUAUACGGUGUUUAUAAUGAUCCACGAGCAAGGCAUCCAUGGAUGAACACUAUAUCAAACGUUCUAGCUAGUGCACCAGAUUUCGGACCUGCAAAUAUUCCACAGAGUUUCGGUAAUACACCAUAUUAAGGUACUAAUCCUUAUAGUUAUUAUAAUACCGGAUAUGGGGCCUACUAUGUUGGGCAUCAGCAACAAUUCCAUCAAAACCCUUUAUACACCUCUAAUUUCAGUCCACACUACUCACAAGCCACCAAUUUUCGGCCUUCUCAUCAUCUCUAUCACUCAUUGGAGUUCACCCAUUGUUAGACCGCUAGGGAACUUCCAGAUAGAGGCUAUGCGAUGGGUUCCCAAUCAGGUAAUUGAUAGUCAUCUUCGCCGUUUCCAACUAAACAACUUCCCAAAAACACUACUGUUGCUGGUUCUAUUCGAAUCGAACUUCUGAUUGUUGAGAGUAUUCCAACUGUUAUCGACAAUAGCUCCUAUAAUUCCACCAAUGCUACCAUAUAUGAGUUUUCUCUAGAGCGGACAGGAAUGGUCGAAGCUGACCAUGGCUUGGGUCAUCCAACAAAGAACCUUGAAUCGUCGUUCUCCCAUAUCGUCGAAGCUCAGCAGCAUCAAACCUUAUCUUCUCUUUCCUCAGGGCUUGUAACUAAUUUGGACUCUUUUCAAGAGGUGCACAGGGAGAUAGACUUGAUCCAUAGUUGCUUAUUCAGAGACUGCAUAGCAGAGCUUCUUUUCUUCCGGAGCCAUAGCUUUUGGGUACUUAUUCUUUUGUGUAUAUGAUUAUGGGCAUAGCGGGGUCCUGUCCCGCUCAUAUGUUUUGUCAUACUCUCCUUAGAGGCUCGUAGUCACGUGUUGUGGUUAGAUAUGUCUGGCCUUGUUUGCCCAUGUUUUGUAUAUCAUUUUGUCGGCCAUGUUGGCCCACGUACAUCGAUGUGGCAUAAAUGCCUAUGAUGAUAUGAAGAGGUGUUUGUCCAAUGGGACUAGUUCGAUAAACGAAAGGAAUGUAUGUCUAAUUAUGUGGCUCACCUAGAUGUAAGUAAUAAAGUAAGCUAAGGGGUGCCCGGGUGGGCUAGCACCGGGUGCUCGUCGCGGCCCCCUAGUCGGGUCGUGAUAAUAACCCUCCUUGCCAAACUAAUUGGAACGGUAAUUGUUACACCUCGGAUGUUUCGUGUCGUUGUGUUGUGAAUAGAAUAACUCAAGCUUAAGGUAAACAUAAAGUCCAUAUGACGUUAAAGGGAGUAUUUGGUGGCUUUAAAGUGAAUACGAUAAGAUUUUGAAGUUAUAUGAAUCGGUGAAACUAAGUCCGUCGAAGGAAGUGAAGUAUAAGUUGUGCUUGGGAAGAUUUAGCAAUUAUCGAGUUAACGAUUAUUUAGAAAUGUCUUGGGAAGGAGUUAUAGGAAUCCUUAGAUGGUUAAUAAAGUGUUAAACAAGUUCCAAGAAGACUCCAUAAGGAUUUGAGAUCAAACGAAUCGACGAAAAUAAUUUUGGAAAAAGGUGAGUUAUACGACCACUUAUACGGUUCGUAUAAUGGUCCAUAUAACAGUCACAGAGAAGGGAAAUCUCUAAUGGAAUUAUACGGUAACUUAUACGGACCGUAUAAAAUUAUACGAACCGUAUAAGUGUCCAUAUAACUCAAUAGGGUCAGAUUUUUCCCUACUUAUAAAUAGAUGACCCAAGUUCUUAAUUCUCAUUUCCCAUAAUCUCCACACUUCUUGAGAGCUCUAGAAAGUUCCUCACACCAUAGCAACACAAACCCAAGGGAAAGCGAAGAUUAUUUACCAAGAAUCAAGAGAAUCAAGUGAAGAGAGGCCCUCUAGGGUUUGUAGAAUUCAAGAAAUCAUUUGGUAUUGAAGUUGGGGUUUCUCUCAAGUGAAGCAUAUGCAUCCAAAGUUCAUCCUUAUGUGAUCAAAGGUGAGUUUCACGUCUAUUUCAUGUUAUUAGGAGUAUUUGAGUGGUUGAAUGACUUGGAUGAGAGAAGAAAGUAGAAUAUGAAGCUCAAAUAUGGAUUUAAUGACAUUCUUGAGUAGUAAAUUAGCUUGAGUUAUGAUUCUUAGUAUAUCAUGAGUAUAAAUUUGUUGUGGAUGAUACUACUGACGUUGAGGGGGUAUUAUGUGAAAAUGAAUAUGGUAUUAUGUUGUAAUUAUGGUGAUGAAUGACUUUGAAAAGGAGUUUUGAGGAUUGAACAAUGUUUAACUUGAAAAGUCUAUUGAUUAUGAUAUUAUGGGUGUUGCUAUUGAUGUUUUGGAGUUGUUUAAUUUAUGGAGAAAGUUGUUGAAACAAAGGAAGUGCUGCCCAAUUUUUGUUAUCCCUUAGUCAUUUUAGUUUGGACUUAAGCAUGUUUUAAAUGAUCUAAUUUAGUACGAAUUCUCUUGAACGUAGAGUUGCGAGCUUGGAAGGAGAACGUUUAAUGGUCAAGAAGACGUAAAGGUAUGUUAAGGCUAGUCCCUUUCUUUCAAAGGCAUAACUCUUAUAUUACGAUUUCCUCUCUACAUUUCCAUGACCUUCUUACAUCCCAAAAGUUGAAAGUUAAAGAUUCUUAAGAGCUUCUUAUGAGAAAGAGACAAGAUGUGUUCUAUGAUAAUGAUAACGAUGAUGAUUCUAUUUCGAGAGAUUCCAAAGCUUAUGAAUUGGUGCUAUUACAAAAAUAAUGAUCUUAUUUUGAUGAUUUCCUUGAUGUUGUCCAUUGUUGAUGAUCUCACCUCAUGAUACUAGUUCCUUCAAGGUGAGACAUAGUGAUGAUGAAUGUUCCAUAAUAUAAUUGGAGGCCACCAACCUUACAUCACUCCAAUAUGAUUGUAGCUUUGAUUGGGCUCACAUGCAUGCUUAUUUUUAUAUAUGAUUAUACCGGGCCUAGUUGGCCAGGCAGACACCACUACGCUGGGCGUAAGUGGGCGGCUUAUGGAUGAUAGUUACAUCGGGCCUAAUUGGCCGAGCAGUCACCACUAGUGGGCGGCGUGAGAUGACUAUCCCAGACGCGGGUUACCUGGACGCGGGCUAGUGAUGUUAUAUGACUCAGACAGUUUACUUAUAUAUGUGUGUGUUAUGAUAUGGUUUUAAAAGUAAAAGUUAGCAAGCAUGGUAUCCGCCUUAAGAGGCAAUCAUAUGUGCAGGCAGACAGGGAGACGGCCCAGAUUCCUAAGAGCUUAUUUAGCAGAUUUGCAGGAGCACUUCACUUCUCCGGAAUUGUCGUUUAUUGGUAGACAAGGAGGUGAGCUUGACCCAGAUUCGUAGUAGCUGUCAGCUGAUUCGAGAGCACUCCUUUGUUCGGGAGGUGCUUAUGAUGAUUCAUUUGUGUACAUUCAUGUAUAUGUAUUUUGGGAAUGACAGGGUCUUGUCCCGUCCUUAUGUCUAGCAUUCCAGUAGAGGCUCGUAGAUACGCAGUGAGGGUUAUAUGGUCUCACGAGAUGCUAUUAUGUAUAUAUAUUAUUUUGAUGGCCGAGAGGCAUAUGUAUAUGGAAGUAUUUACGUUUUCAAAUGAAAGAUGAUUUUCUUAUGAUCUGAAUAUAAAAUUGAUAAAAGAGCAUUAAAUAA